CCUACGGGUGGCUGCAGUGGGGAAUAUUGGACAAUGGGGGCAACCCUGAUCCAGCCAUGCCGCGUGUGUGAAGAAGGCCCUCGGGUUGUAAAGCACUUUCAGUGAGGAAGAACGCCUGGUGGUUAAUACCCAUCAGGAAAGACAUCACUCACAGAAGAAGCACCGGCUAACUCCGUGCCAGCAGCCGCGGUAAUACGGAGGGUGCGAGCGUUAAUCGGAAUUACUGGGCGUAAAGCGCGCGUAGGUGGCUUGAUAAGCCGGUUGUGAAAGCCCCGGGCUCAACCUGGGAACGGCAUCCGGAACUGUCAAGCUAGAGGGCAGGAGAGGAAGGUAGAAUUCCCGGUGUAGCGGUGAAAUGCGUAGAGAUCGGGAGGAAUACCAGUGGCGAAGGCGGCCUUCUGGACUGACACUGACACUGAGGUGCGAAAGCGUGGGUAGCAAACAGGAUUAGAUACCCUAGUAGUC
rnacentral:rRNA from 1 species